rnacentral:lncRNA from 1 species
GCGUCCGGGUUCAAGGAUCUGGCCCCCGCCAUCGAGACGUAUGGGGUCGUCGCCGAGUACAUCUGGUACGUACACAUGAACCUCCCUCCACUCCAAUGUCGCUGUUGUUUGUUUCGUCUGUCACUAUGUUCCUAGAGACCACAACAGUAGCUUCAGGAUAGGGGGCCAAACCUGCAUCUUUUUAUGAUUUCUUUUUAUUAGAUUAGCACGGGAACGAGCAGUGCAGUGAGGAUUUGGCCCCUUAAAGACUUGGUGGGUGAUAAGUGACGUCCAUAUUCUGUAAACGUCUUGGUCCCGGUUCCAACUCAUUGAAUACAUCUUUUUAAUAUGUGAAUAAAUUCACUUUUGGUCUGUUUGCUAACUUGCUAAUUGCCUUCUUACACCCCAUGGCGGAUCUGUGUAUGAAAGUGUGAUUGGCUAUAAACAUGAAAAAAUUACCAAAACAAAUAGUAGACCGUACUUCAUGUGUGCAUUGAGAUGAAGUGUAAGGAUCACGUGAUAUAUAUCAUUUCAUAUAUCAUGUCAGCAAAAACAUGCUGUGGUGGUCGCCAUCGGCUGAUGGCGUACAUUCCUUGGCACUGGGAUACCGUAGAGGGGGAGGGCGACGUCGUGGAGGGAAGGGGAGACGACGCUGGAAUGUCGUGGCAUGCUUUGAUGCCAGCAACGUCAGUUUGGAGAGAAGCUGGGGGUAGAUAUGAGUGUGAGCAUUGCUAUGAAAUGCGAUAUGAUGGUGAGCGUUGUGCCAUGCAAUGAGAGAGUGAAUUGCUUUUUCAAAAAUAAAAAGAAAAGGAGUGACAUUUUUUUUUUGGGAAAGUAUUUGAUUGCGAUCAGAGAAAUGUCACAUACUUUUAUAUAGUUGAAAAUAUCAGAUACCCUAACAAGUCAUGUUUAUAAUGGACCAGACCAAAAAAUCAUUGAGUUUUAACAAUCAUAAGAGAUGCAUACAAAUAAUGCUUCUUAAUAUAUUUGUUACACAUGAUAAUACAAAAGGUGUGUUUAUAUAUAUUCUUAAUAUAUUUAUUUAUUUUCGUAUGAGAGAGAUAAAGAUGGAUUAUGUCAAUGUUUGAAAAAAAAAACCCACCAAACAAGGGUGUAGGGACGAUGCUAUUGAAAGAGGUAAAAAAUUCAUCGAGUUUUGUACAACAAAAGGCCCGUGGCAACGCACGGGCAUUCUACUAUAUAGAUUGUAUAUGAGUUUUUUUUUCUUAUUUUAAUAUAUGUUUAUAUGUUCACCUUUAUAUAUCAAAGACAAAAACUGGUAGCUUAUGAUUGUGCUUUGAAAAUGCUGAUUGGCAAAGUCAUUGAUGUAACUAUGAUGGGCUGGCCUAAAAGCAUGAUUUCACAGAAUUAGAAGAAAUGCAUACAAAUAAUUGUUCUUUUUUGAGAGAUGUUGCACAUGCAUACAAAUGAUUGUAUUAAUUUAUUCUAUAGCAACGGAUCCACUGUGGUAGUAGUAGUGGAGGCGGAUAUAGUGUUGUAAAAAUGUUCGGCAAUACCGGUUGAUUUGUAUGAGGAUCUGCAAGGACACGACACAUGUUGAACCAUUGAAAUAUUUAAGUCCACUAGAUAAAAGGAUGGACAGAUGAGCUCAGGACUUGGUUGUGGGCGCUGGACUCGGAGAAGGUGCGGCGUUGUGGUGAACAGGUUGUGUCGUUGUGGUGGUCACCCUCGGCUAUGAUUGCGUGCAACCCUUGGCAGUGGGAAUUGGCCUGGGAUGCCGUCGAGGGGAGAGGAGGGGCGGGUGACUCCGUGCAGGCUAAAUGAUGUGCCGUUGAGGGGAGGACAGUGAGAGGCCGUUGUGGGCAGAACAGUCCGGGGGGAAGGAGAUGUGAGUGUGAGCGAUAUGUCGUGCUAUUAGAGAAUAAGAGGGCAUAUUGAUUUUUUUAAGAUAAAAAUAGGAGUGGCUGCUUGUUUUUGUAGCGAAAAGCGAUUGCUUGCUACAAGAGGCAUGUCUCAUUUUUUUUUAUAUAGUUAAAAAUAUCACAAACCCUAACGAGUCAUUUCUGGAGAAUAAUUAUCAACAAAUAAAUUACAGGAAGCACACAUGUUAUUAAAAUUUUGAUGUGACUCACUCUACUAAAAAGCACAAUGCGACUCACUGUGACUAAAAAUGGUCACCUGCUUAUAUGAAUAUAGAUUGUAUAUGAGUUUUUUUAUUAUUUUAAUAUAUGUUUAUAUGUUCACCUUUAUAUAUCAGAGAUAAAAAGUGGUAGCUUCUAAUUAUGCUUUGAAAAUGCUGAUUGGCAAAGUCAUUGCGUAACUAUGAUGGGCUGGCCUAAAAACAUGAUUUUACAGAAUUGGAAGAAAUGCAUACACAAAUAAUUGUUCUUUUUUGAGAGAUGUUGCACAUGACAAUAUAAAAGGUGUAUUUCUAUAUAUGUUUAAUUUUGCAGGUUAUGAGAGAGAUGGAUAUGAAUUAUGUUGACGUUCAAAAAGAAACCAUCGACAAGGGACAAUAAUGAUGAAAGGGGCAAAAAAUUAACGAAAUUUUAAGUAUAUAUGUGCAAUCAGAAAAAAAUUAUUUAAAAGGCCUGUAGCAACUCAUGCAAGGUGCUCUCACGGGUGUAGGUUUGUCCAUCGCCAUUUGACUUUAUAACCGUGCAAGACAGUUGACAGCAGAUCGCUUAUGGUAGGACCUAGCUAUUACCAAUGAUUUAUACUAUCAAAUGCAGUGUCAGUGAAUGGUGUUCCUUUAUCAUGGUUGAAGGUUGCAUGUCUUCUGCUAGGUUCAUUGAUACUUCUCGGUAUGUACUUGAAUGUUUCUUACCUAAUUUUUUAGUGGCUACUAUUCUUAGUGGACAGAUAUAAGGUUUACAUGAUAAUUGUUGUCGAGUCACUCAAAUACAUGCAUGUUCGUCUGCUCUGACGGCUACAAGGAGCAAGAGAUAGUGGGAUGAAGGAUGAGUGGGGAUAGGGCGAGACGGAGCUAUAUAGAGAGGGGAAGAGUGGAGAGAUAAGGUUUACGUGACAAUUAUUGUCGAGUCACUCAAAUACAUGCAUUGUAGCCCGUAG